GACGAAUGCUGGCGGCGUGCCUAAUACAUGCAAGUUGAGCGAUGAAGAUCGGGGCUUGCACCAAUUUGAAGAGCAGCGAACGGGUGAGUAACGCGUGGGGAAUCUGCCUUUGAGCGGGGGACAACAUUUGGAAACGAAUGCUAAUACCGCAUAACAACUUUAAACAUAAGUUUUAAGUUUGAAAGAUGCAAUUGCAUCACUCAAAGAUGAUCCCGCGUUGUAAUAGCUAGUUGGUGAGGUAAAGGCUCACCAAGGCGAUGAUACAUAGCCGACAUGAGAGGGUGAUCGGCCAGAUUGGGACUGAGACACGGCCCAAACUCCUACGGGAGGCAGCAGUAGGGAAUCUUCGGCAAUGGACGAAAGUCUGACCGAGCAACGCCGCGUGAGUGAAGAAGGUUUUCGGAUCGUAAAACUCUGUUGGUAGAGAAGAACGUUGGUGAGAGUGGAAAGCUCAUCAAGUGACGGUAACUACCCAGAAAGGGACGGCUAACUACGUGCCAGCCGCCGCGGUAA
rnacentral:rRNA from 1 species